GAGAACAGAACUUCUCCCGUAGAGAGAAGUCAGUUCCGGCGUUUCGGGGAGGAAACGCUCGCUUAAAACAAAACAGAAAGCUCGCCGCGCGGUAUCCCCCUCGGCGAGCUUUUUUUUGCG
rnacentral:sRNA from 1 species